CUGGGAGGUUGGGUGUGACAGCGUGAGUGAGGGUGCUGAAUGAGCCUGAAUGUGUUUUUUUUGGCAUACUUCACUGUUUUUUCUUCAUGGUAAGGGAGCCCACAGCAGUUCAGGCGAGCCACAGCCUGGGGGUGCCGCUGAGGGCAGUAGCCCGCAACCAGCGCAGCAGGCAGCGGGACAUACCGCAAGCGGUGAUCCACAACCUGAUGUGGAGGGAAAUGAAACAACCAAGCAAGGCAGCAAUAAUGAAAGUGACGGUAAUCUGAGUGGUACGGAAGCACAGGAUGCGGAUGCAUGCAGAGACGGAGGACAGACGGAACCAGUGAGAGACAGUCACCCAGCUGAGGCUGAGAGUCAGGUCUUUGCAACAGGGGUUGCCACAGCGGAUUUUACAGUUUCCAUUGGUACCCUGUGAGGGCACAGCACCAAUGGCGGAUGUUGCUAACACGGGCCUUGACCGAUCCGGUAUGGAGCCUUGACCAAUCCAGUAUGGUCUUGUCAAUCCGUAUACUGAUUUGGCAAAGUUUUACGUCGGAUGCCCUUCCUGGCACAACCACUAACCCUAUGGAUGGGGGCACAGGUCGGUAGGAUGUAUCACCUGCUGUCCCCCUGACCAUCAGGUAAGGAAGGCAACAAAUUUGGGGGCUCGUCCGGGAUUAGCGCCUCCAGGUGGAUCAUUGCUAAUCAUCCAAGAACUG